GACGAACGCUGGCGGCGUGCUUAACACAUGCAAGUCGAACGGUAAGGCCCUUCGGGGUACACGAGUGGCGAACGGGUGAGUAACACGUGGGUGAUCUGCCCUGCACUUCGGGAUAAGCCUGGGAAACUGGGUCUAAUACCGGAUAGGACCACUGCCUGCAUGGGUGGUGGUGGAAAGCUUUUGCGGUGUGGGAUGGGCCCGCGGCCUAUCAGCUUGUUGGUGGGGUGAUGGCCUACCAAGGCGACGACGGGUAGCCGGCCUGAGGGGGUGACCGGCCACACGGGGAUUGAGAUACGGCGCAGACUCCUGCGGGAGGCAGCAGUGGGGAAGAUUGCACAAUGGGGGCAAGCCUGAUGCAGCGACGCCGCGUGAGGGAUGACGGCCUUCGGGUUGUAAACCUCUUUCAGCACCGACGAAGCGCAAGUGACGGUAGGUGCAGAAGAAGGACCGGCCAACUACGUGCCAGCAGCCGCCGUAA
rnacentral:rRNA from 1 species